AGACCUCUGGAACUACCUCGGGGAGGAUAGAAUAACAAGGUAAGUGCCCACCUGGGCGAGGCACCCUCAGCUGCAGGCUUCCCCUGGCUCUUAUAAGACGCAUGAAGCAGGCACCAUGACAGAGGUGUGGCCUGGCUCUGGCGUCCAGUGCGUAUCUGCUGGGUCUCACCAGGCCUGAAUUUCUCCUUGUUCCUUUUGGUUCUAUUUGCCCAGGAAGUUUAUUCCUAGUUGAGCAGUCUGCCUAACGAGGAACAGCUCACUGGGGAGUGACUGGCUUGGGGGUUGCUCCCCAGCAGGCAUUUCCCAGGGACCCUGCCAGAGUUGGUCCUUCUACUCCUUUCCCACCUGCAGCCAGGCACAAGUGGUCCCACGGGAAUAAAGUGGAAGAGAACAGCCAGGACUCCUGGGAGCCGGCUGAUGCUGGGUGGUGCUUGGUGAGACAUGACUGUUUUCAACGAGGAGCACGUUAGAACUCUCCCUUGCGUUGUCUUGGGACUUGCUGUGGGUCUCUAACGGUGCCGUGGCUGUAUCCAGCCAUUUCACAAAGAGUGAAAGUGACACAAAGCAGCUGAUUGUGCCCCCAAGGUCUUCUGAUGGAUGAAAUGUCAGGGGCAGACCUGCACCUGAGUGCUGAAGUCACAUGCCACACCUUCCCUGAGCCCACAGUUAAAAUAUUCUGUGAAAAGUCGUGUGCACUGGCAUUUGGUUGCACAGAGUGAAGAUUGGGCAGGAAUGGUUUUGUGUAAAUACAAGUCCAAGGAGGUGGGUCAGAAGUCCCAUCAUCUAGAAGUCAUUAGGUGUUUCAAUCAACCUGUAUUUUAGACUGCCCUUUAUUAUAGGAGAAACAGACCCCCUGUGUGCAUGAGCUCAUGUUGAACGUCAAGUAAUCCAAUCCCUGUUGAACUCCCUCCUCCACCUCACCAGAGGUCUGGGAGCAGGGACCUUGGAAUAGGCAUUGCAAACCCGUUUCCAACACUUUGCCCACGGACUGGCCAGAUGCAUUGGCCUAGGACUGUUGUAGGGACAAAGGAGGCAAGGCACUGAAGACAGCAGGAAAUAGUUUAAUUUGGAUGCAGCCAGGUUUAGAAGGCACAACUUUUGCUGUAAUCAAUCAAUCCCCUGAACCCCGAGUUCAGGGAGUUUCAGAAUUUUAUACCCAGCCUGUAAGGGGAGGGGCUCAGAAGUCCACAGUCUGCAGAAGUUCACACAAACGCAGCUUUUGCUUUCACUGUUCUGGGCAAGUUAACCCUCCAAGGACCACACCUGAGAAGGGGAGAGCUUCUUCUCCCCUUUCUUUCCUCCCCUGCCAGCUGUUACCAUGGGCCCAUUUGUAACUUAUCUUAAAAAUGUAGACAUCUCUGUGGAGCCCAGCCCAGCUCAAGGCCAGAGGCCUUGUUUGCACAUUUCUUCAAAGUCCUAUACUGGAUACGUUUGUGAAAAACUAGUGAGGGGGUGUCCAGCACCUGGAGUGCUGGUAUCUUCCCGGCCAGUGGCCAAGUAAACAGGGCGACAUGAAAAUAGGAAGUUUAUCUACAUUGGACUCUUUUGUAGAGACUCUUUUGCUGACACUCCUAAAAUCAGCCAUGGUGAAGAGGGCUUUUCUGUGGAGAAAGGGGGUGCCACUUCAGGACCACUGGCAGGCUUUUGCAAGAUGCUUUUAAGAUAAUACAGCCAAGAUGACCAUCGACCUUACCUGUGAUUACCUAUAAAAUUUACCUGUUCCGGAUACAUUUAGAGUCACUGUCAGUCUUCCAAUUCUUCUGAAACUAAGACAGAGCGUGCACAGGACCAAUAUGAUUCUAAAGGUAAAUGCUUGACUUUUGAUUAUUUAAAAAUACGGAAUUUUUCAAUGCAUCUCAUUUGCACCUGGUUUUUAGAGAUUGUGGUGGACAUGUCCAACACAGACCUGUCUUCAAGGAAGUCAAAAUCUGGGAAAGAAAACAAUGUUUGAAGUGAAACAAUCAAAGGCAGGAUAGGAGAGGCACCAUGAGGGUGGGGGUGGGGAAGCUACUCUGCAAACACACGUAGAAGGAUCUCUGGUUGCAGACGCUCAGGGACGAGCAGAGGUGCCCGGGGUGACACGAGGUGGCAGAGGAGACAGGUGGUCAUGGAACAAGUGAAG
rnacentral:lncRNA from 1 species